rnacentral:misc_RNA from 1 species
AUAUCUCAACACAAGAAACUUUUGUUUCUUGUGCGUGGAUAUUGAAGGUUCUGCUGGUCCAGAUUUACUGCCAGCUCCUUUUAAAUGUAUUAGCAGAGCAUUGCAGGACUGGCCUCAGUUUGAUAAGAAAAGUUAUCUAUGCUGUCGCUGGGUUCCUCUUUGUGUUCAGCUUCAAAUUGUCUUUGGACUGUCUCUUUGAGGCAACAAAAUUCAUU